CGCUGGGGCCGGCGGGAGCCGUGAGGGGACGCGCAACGCCCCCCCGGUCCCGCCCCGGGCCCUCACCUGACGUUCGCGUGGCUGUAGCCGAUCUUGGCGUUGUAGGCGCCGUUAUCCAGCACCAGCGUCGCCAUGUUCCCCACGGCGCCACGGCCGCCGCCGUCCCAGUAUUGAUCCGCCACCGCCGUGGAUCUCUACGGUGACCAUAGAGCGGAGGAGCAGCGCGCGUGGCCCGUCGGGACGCGGAGGUGCCGGCAGCGCUCCGCCUCCGCCUGGGGCCGCCCGCCGUGCCGGUGACGCUCGCGGGGCUGCGGCGCCAUUGGCCGGGCGUGACCCGGCAGCGCUCGGCAAAGGGGCGGGCGGGGCGGUGACACGGCGUCACCGCGGACAGCGCCCCUCACUGCCGCCCACCGCGCCUGCCUGCGCGCACAGACCCUGCCCCGGCCGCCGUCAGCCCCGCGGGGGCGGCAGCGACCGCUGGGGACCGGGCGGGGCCGUCACGGCGAGAGCUGAGGUCGGGGGUGUGUUACAGUUACCGCGCGGUCGAGGGAAUGCUGUGCCCUCGGGUGUUCCUGGCAGUUCGGGGCGCUGCCAUACGGGAAACCCGCGCCUCGGGGAGAAAGAAUCACAGAAUCAGUUAGCUUGAAAAAGACCUCUGAGAUCAUCGGGUCCAACCUGUGAAAGAACACCACCGUAUAAUCUAGACCACGGCACCAAGUGCCGUAUCCAGUCCUUAAACACCUCUAGGGACAGUGACUCCACCACCUCCCUGGACAGUCAUUUCCAAUGCCUAAUCACCUGUCCUGUGAAGAAACUCUUCCUACUGCUCAACCUAAACCUCCUCGGGCACAGCUUAAGACUAUGUGCUCUUGCCCUGUAGCUGGUUGUCUGGGAGAAGGGGCCAACCCCCACCUGGCUACAACCGCCUUUCAGUAGAAAGGAGGUGUUCUAAGCAUGCUGUGAUUAACACUAUUUUAUUAUAAAUAAUAUUAAAAGCAGUGUUAGAGUUCUCUGUGGAUGCAGCCCAGGAUCUGUUUUGCCUUUGCUGUUGCAGCAGUGUACUGCUGACUCCUGUUCAGCCUGCUGUCCACCUGGACCCCCAGAUCCUUUUCCACAAGGCUGUUCCUCCUGCUACACAGGUCUGAGCCUGCACUGGGCUCUGUGUGUAUGUUGUCUCAAGUGCAGUACCUUGCACUUCUCUUGAUGAAUUUUGCUGUCUUUAUAUGUUUUACUUACCAUCACUAUCUUUUUUCUUAUCCAGUUAAAAAAGCGCACUACUGCUUUG